rnacentral:rRNA from 1 species
UACGUAGGGACCGAGCGUUGUUCGGAUUUACUGGGCGUAAAGGGCGCGUAGGCGGUCAGCACAAGUCAGUUGUGAAAUCUCCGGGCUUAACUCGGAAAGGUCAACUGAUACUGUGCGACUAGAGUGCAGAAGGGGCAACUGGAAUUCUCGGUGUAGCGGUGAAAUGCGUAGAUAUCGAGAGGAACACCUGCGGCGAAGGCGGGUUGCUGGGCUGACACUGACGCUGAUGCGCGAAAGCCAGGGGAGCGAACGGG